GUUUUCAGCCUCUGAUGCCUUAAUAAAUGAGUACAUGAGACACACUUCAUGAGCAUUUACCGUUUCUUUUGAGAAAAACUAUCAUCAUACCAUAUACAAACAUAAAUGUAAAGAUAUUCAA